AAAGUCUAAAAUGACUCUCGGCAAUGGAUAUCUCGGCUCUCGCAUCGAUGAAGAACGUAGCAAAAUGUGAUACUUGGUGUGAAUUGCAGAAUACUGUGAACCAUCGAGUCUUUGAACGCAAGUUGCGCCCCAAGCCUUCUAGCCGAGGGCACGUCUGCCUAGGUGUCACAAAUCGUCGUCCCCCCAUCCUCUCGAGGAUAUGGGAUGGAAGCUGGACUCCCGUGUGUUACCGCACGCGGUUGGCCAAAAUCCGAGCUAAGGAUGGUAGGAGCGUCUUGACAUGCGGUGGUGAAUUAAUUUCUCGUCAAAUCGUCGGUCGUUUCGGUCCAAUAGCUCUUGAUGACCCAAAGUCCUCAACGCGACCCCAGGUCAGGCGGGAUCACCCGCUGAGUUUAAGCAUAUCAUUAAGGGGAGGAAAAGAAACUAACAAGGAUUCCUUUAGUAACGGGCGAGCUUAACGGAAGAGCCCAGCUUUGAAAAUCGGACGCCUUCGGCGUUCAAUUGUAGUCCGAGAAGCAUCCUCAGCAACGGACCGGGCCCAAGUUCCCUGGAAAGGGCGCCAGAGAGGGUGAGAGCCUGUCGUUGCCGGACCCUGUCGCACCACGAGGGGCUGUCUACGAAGUCGGGUUGUUUGGGAAUGCAGCCCCAAUCGGCGGUAAAUUCCGUCCAAGGCUAAAUAGGGCGAUAGACCGAUAGCGAACAAGUACCGUGGAGGUAAAGAUGAAAAGGACUUUGAAAAGAGAGUCAAAGAGUGCUUGAAAUUGUUCGGAGGGAAGCGGAUGGGGCCCGCGAUGCGUCCCCGGUCAGAUCGGAACAGAGCAACCGGUCCGCCGAUCGAUUCGGGGCGUGGACCGACGUGGAUUAAGGUGGUGACCUAAGCCCGAGCUUUCGUUACACCCACGGAGACGUCUACGCCUUAAUCGUGGGUUGCAGCACGAUCGCUGGGCGUGCGUUCGCAUCUGCGUGUUUCGGGGUGUCGCCUGUGGGCUCCCCAUUCAACCUCGUCUUGAAACACGGACCAAGGAGUCCGACAUGUGCCAGUCAAUGGGUGAGUAAACCUGUAAAGCUAAGGAAGCUGAUUGGCUGGAUCCCUCACGGGUGCAAAGCCUACCGACCUUGAUCUUCAAAAAGAAGGGUUCGAGUGUGAGCAUGCCUAUCGGGACCCAAAAGAUGGUGAACUAUGCCCCUGGGGGAAGCCGGAGGGAAACUCUGGUGGAGGCCCAUGAAAUACUGAUGUGCAAAUCGCUCAUCUACCUUGGGUAUAGGGUUUAAAGACUAAUCGAACCAUCUAGUAGUUGGUUCCCUCCAAGUUUCCCUCAGGAUAAAUUUGGAGCUCGAAACGAAGUUCUAUCGGUAAAGCCAAUGAUUAGAGGCAUCGGGGAUGCAAUGUCCUCGACCUAUUCUCAAACUUUAAAUAGGUAGAACGGGUGGCUGCUUUGUUGAGCCAUCCCACAGAAUCGAGAGCUCAAGUGGGCCAUUUUGGUAAGCGUGAAUCGGCGAUGCGGGAUGAACCGAAGCCGGUUUACGGUGCCCAAUAAGGCUAACCUAGAACCCACAAAGGGUGUUGGUCGAUUAAAACAGGAGGGACGGUGGUCAUGGAAGUCGAAAUCCGCUAAGGAGUGUGUAACAACUCACCCGCCAAUCAAUCCAGCCCCGAAAAUGGGAUGGCGCUGAAGCGCGACCUAUACCCGCCGUCGGGGCAAGAGCCCGGCCUCGAUGAGUAGGACGACGCGGGCGGUCACUGCAAAACCUAGGGCAUGAGCCCGGCAGAGCGGCCGUCGGUGCAGAUCUUGGUGGUAGUAGCAAAUAUUCAAAUGAGAACUUUAAGGUCGGAGGGGGGAAAGGUUCCAUGAACGGCACUUGCACAUGGGUUAGUCGAUCCUAAGAGUCGGGGAGAAACCCGUCGAUAGCGCUUUAUGCGAACUUCGAAGGGGAUCCAUUUAAAAUUCUGGAACCGGACGGGCGGUUGACGGCAACGUUAGGGAGUCCGGAGACAUCGGGCGGAAUUCCAGAAAGAGUUAUCUUUUCUGUUUAACAGCCUGCCCACCUGGAAAUGGCUCAGCCGCAGGUAGGGUCCAGCGGCUGGAAGAGCACCGCGACGUCGCGUGGUGUCCGGUGCAUUCCGGCUGCUUUGAAAACCGGAGGACCAAGUGCCGCCACGCCCGGUCAUUACUCAUAACCGUAUCAGGUCUCCAAGGUGAACAACCUCUGGUCGAUGGAACAAUGUAGGCAAGGGAAGUCGGCAAAAUGGAUCCAGUAACCGGAAAUGGAUUGCCUCGACGGCUGGGCUCGGGGUCCCAGUUCGAACCCGUCGAUUGUGGGCGGCUGCUUGAGCCGCUAACGUGGCAAGAGCGGAGAGCCUCGUGUCGGCUGGGGGACGGACUUGGAACGACUCUUUCGGGAGCUUUCCCCGGGCGUCGAACAGCCAACUCAGAACUGGUACGGACAAGGGGAAUCCGAUUGUUUAAUUAAAAUAAAGCAUUGCGAUGGUCCCUGCGGAUGCUAACGCAAUGUGAUUUCUGCCCAGGGCUCUGAAUGUCAAAGUGAAGAAAUUCAACCAAGCGCGGGUAAACGGCGGGAGUAACUAUGACUCUCUUAAGGUAGCCAAAUGCCUCGUCAUCUAAUUAGUGACGCCCAUGAAUGGAGUAACGAGAUUCCCACUGUCCCUGUCUACUAUCCAGCGAAACCACAACCAAGGGAACGGGCUUGGCAGAAUCAGCGGGGAAAGAAGACCCUGUUGAGCUUGACUCUAGUCCGACUUUGUUAAAUGACUUGAGAGGUGUAGAAUAAGUGGGAGCUCCGGCGCAAGUGAAAUACCACUACUUUUAACGUUAUUUUGUUGUGAAACUUAGGAUUUAGAGCUGUAAGUUUAUGUCAAUCUUAUUAAUGAAUAAGUGUUCCCUUUAUAUAAGGGUUACAAGAGAGAUAAAUGGAAAUACAAGAAUAGGAAAAAUUACAAAUCAUAAACAUAAACGAAUAAGGAAAACAUAGAUGUAGCCGCCUCUCUCUCUCCUCAAUAGGCUGACUCUCUCUCCUCUCCUCUCUCUCCCGCGGAUGGGCCGGUUUAUGGACCGGGCCGGUUAUGGAUAUCCAUCAAUUGAUUUAUAACACUCCCCCUUGGAUGCCAUAACCAUACAGGGAUUGUAAUACGCUUAAUGUUGCCUCAUUAAAACCUUAUCAGGAAAAUCCAGUGGGACAAAACCAUGAUGAAGGAAAAAGAGUACAACACGUACUACUCCCCCUGAUGUGAACCUCAGUGGAGGUCUUUCAGCCUACGCAUCCCAAUCUGAUGCGUGAGUUUCCUGA
rnacentral:rRNA from 1 species